rnacentral:rRNA from 1 species
AAGGAAUAUUGCUCAAUGGGAGAAAUCCUGAAGCAGCAACGCCGCGUGGAGGAUGAAGGGUCUAUGACUUGUAAACUCCUGUAAAGAAGGAAAAAAUUCCCAUUAGAUGGGAGAUGAUGGUACUUCUGGAGUAAGCCCCGGCUAACUACGUGCCAGCAGCCGCGGUAAUACGUAGGUGGCAAGCGUUGUCCGGAUUUACUGGGUGUAAAGGGUGCUCAGGCGGAUUUGUAAGUCAGAGGUGAAAUCUUACAGCUUAACUGUGAAACUGCCUUUGAUACUGCAAGCCUAGAGUAUGGAAGAGAGUGAUGGAAUAUCUGGUGUAGCAGUGAAAUGCGUAGAUAUCAGAUAGAACACCAAUGGCGAAGGCAGUCACUUGGUCCAUUACUGACGCUAAAGCACGAAAGCGUGGGUAGCAAACA